AUGGCUAUUAGCCGGAAGGAUGUGAUCUCAAAAUACGGGUUUGAGCAUCUCCUGAAGUUUGAGAAGACUGAACUCCCUUCUCAGUUCACCAGAUGGAUUGUUGGUUGCGUAGACACAAUAUCUUCCCAAAUCAUUAUUGAUGAUCAGAAGAUCAUCUCUCUUUCUAAGGAGUCUGUCCAUCUUGUGUUGGGUCUGCCGAACAGCGGCAUUAUAGCGCUGCCUAAUAAGGAGAGAGGGAGGAGUUUCAUUAUGUCUAGGUUCAAUCUUUCAGAAAUUCCAAAUGUCACUUUCUUUGGAAAUUUGCUCACAUCAUCAGAAGAUCUUAGUGAUGAAGACAUCUUCAUAUGUUUCAUGGUGAUUGUUAUGUCAUGCUUUCUAUUCCCUUCUUCAAAUGAUCAUAUACACACGGACUUCCUAUUCCUUCUGGAGGAUCCUACUAUCACAAGGGGAUUCGACAUGUGUCUUCUUGUCUACGAAUGGAUUUUGGCUGGCAUCAACCAAUAUGUGUUGUUUGAUAGGGAAACCGGCAGAAAACCAAAAGCGUUUGAUUUCUGCAUAUAUUGCUUGGCUGUGCUAUAUUUGGACAAGCUUGACUUUGGUAUAAGGGUGGUCGAGCAAGGCGUCCCACAGAUUCUUGCAUGGAAAGGUAAUUUGAUUAAACAUUUCUCGGAACUUUACUAG
rnacentral:rRNA from 1 species